rnacentral:piRNA from 2 species
UGAGUCAUGUAGCACAAAUGCCCACAGGAU